rnacentral:misc_RNA from 1 species
GGCCGUUCCAACUCCGAUCAUCGACGACAUCAUGGACGGAGGACGCUCGUUCAAUCACAUCCUCUUUCUUCUCUUCGUCGUUCUCCUGCUCUUUCCGGUCAUCUUUGCUGCCAAAUUUGACUAUUGCGAUAGGAGAGGUAAUUAUCCUGUGAAGGUCGAUGGACUCGAAGUAUCUCCUUAUCCAGUAAAGAGUGGCCAGCCUGCCACGUUCACCGUUUCAGCCUCAACUGAGAAGAAUCUCUCCGGUGGGAAGUUUGUGGUCGAGGUUUCUUUAUUUGGCCUGCACAUACAUUCAGAAAGUCAUGAUCUUUGCGAAGAGACUUCAUGUCCUAUUGCACCUGGAAAAUUCUCUUUAUCUCACUCCCAAAGCUUACCUCCAUUUACGCCACCAGGUUUAUAUGCUGUUAAAAUAAUAUUGAGAGAUAGCAAGAACGACCAGUUGACUUGCAUAAACUUCAAGCUCAAAAUUGUUUUUGGUGAUGAGAAAUCAGCAAUUACUGAAGAAUCCUUGGUUGCUGAGAGUUGAAAAUGGGCCAAUUCAAGUUAGUUUUCAUGUUACUUUCUCCUCUGUUUUUCAACUGCAUGGUGUGUAAUAUUUAUGCUUCUACUACAAGGAUUGUUCUCUUUCUCCCUUUGUUGGUGUUUAUGAAUGUAUAAAAGCUUCUGAACAAAUGUGAAUUCCUCAAUAUUCAGCUGUUU